UAAUAGUGGAUGAGCAUACGCUUGAUGUUUUGGUAUCAUACUGCACACAUGCUCUGCGCACAUGCAGUUCAUGGACUCACCCGGAAGUGUUGCUUGCCCUCUCAUCACUAGUGUAUGGCAAUGGAUCCAGGUGUCACAGACAUCUUCCAGAGCUCCUUGGACUGAGCGGUAUUCUGGUAAACUACGGUGACCCCAGCCAGCCUGACAUAGAGUUGCGCCGUUCUGCUGUGCAUUGCUUAGCUAAUCUAUGUCUCAGUGUUGCUGGUCAGCCGUAUUUAGAGGAGCCAUAUAAAGGUGUAUGCUAUGGAAUCCUCCUG